UCAAUUCACCAUCUUGGCACAUUCUGUGCGUAGGGAUAAUGUAGAUAGUACCAUCAUGAAACGAUAAGCUUAAUUAGCUGUUCUAAAUUAGUAGUCUUCAAACACACAAGUUGCACUAAAAUCCAACUCUAUCCCAAAAAAAUCCAAAAUCUAAUCAAGUAAAACAAUUUAGACUUUGCUUUGGAGUCUUUUCUAGAGCACCGAGCACAUACGUUUUUAUACAAGUCAAUAUGAAAACGUAACCGGAACGAUAAAGCCCCCAACUAAUAUUCGAUCUCAUGCUGGCAUGCUGCCGUCUUAUAAAAGAAACAGUGGCGUGCAUCUAACUGAUGCCUGAUGGAUAUGAAUUUGGACCAAAUCUAUCUCCAGCUCAUUCUGGUAGUUUUGACCUUAUAACUUAUGGCUAUAAAUGGUACAUUGUUUUCCCGCUCAUUCAGGAGAGACACGUGUGUGUAAAUCUGUGGUGAACAUGUCGUUGUUCUUACAAUACGAAAUUGCUUCAGACAGGGCCCACAUGAGUUUCUAGCACCUCUCCGGCUUUCCCUUUUCUCUGUUUAAAGAAACAAUUUAGAAAAAUUCCGACUUUCCUAGAAUAUUCAUAUAUCCCAGAAUUUUUUGUAAUUUAAAAUAGAAUUGACUAUAAUUUCUUAAUUGUAUGAGAAAUUAUUUUGCACCAUAUAUUAUAAGAUAAAAUCUGCUAUGUAGACUGUUACGAUAACUACCACAUAAAUCUAUGUGAUAUCAAAUUUACUUAAUUGUAUAUUAUAAGUAUAUUUGUAGAGGUUCAUGUCUUUAAAAUUAAUGUUUCUUUUAUGCAUUGCUUGAUAAGAAAAUAAAUGUAUUUGGGAACAUAUCAUAGUUGUCACAUACUAUAUAUAGCGUAUUCUUGAACAGAAAAAAAAAGAAACAAAAACAAAAAUAUAUAUUCAUUGAGGACCUCGGUGAUCCUCUUCUUAACAAAGUACCACCAACAUUCAUAAAAAAAAAAGGUAACCACCAACACAAUUAUUUUUGGACGGCUUAAAAUCCACAAACCUUAUAUCAAUAAUAGUGUAGAAAAAGGCAAAUACUAUACUGUGGUAGGUGGUUCGAACUUCUCAUCAAAUAGUUAUGAUUUUUAAUUACUAGUAAUAAGUAAUAACAACCCUAGGAAAGAAAAAACAAUUACCUUUUAUUGUGGCGGAGAGAGAGUUCAAUAGUUAAAUGGUAGACACAGAGAAUACAUCUGUCAGAGGCUGACUCAUUGUGAUUGAUGCCUUAUCUUUCUCACUUUUUCCUACGUGUGCCCCAAAAGACUCUCACGCAUAUC
rnacentral:lncRNA from 1 species